UACGGGGGAUGCAAGCGUUAUCCGGAUUUAUUGGGUUUAAAGGGUGCGUAGGCUGUGAGGUAAGUCAGCGGUGAAAUGCCCCCGCCCAACGGGGUGAAGUGCCAUUGAUACUGCCUUGCUGGAAUGCGGAUGCCGUGGGAGGAAUGUGUGGUGUAGCGGUGAAAUGCAUAGAUAUCACACAGAACACCGAUUGCGAAGGCAUCUCACGAAUCCGCUAUUGACGCUGAGGCUCGAAAGCGUGGGGAGCAAACAGG
rnacentral:rRNA from 1 species